rnacentral:ncRNA from 1 species
UGACCUCGGAUCAGGUAGGAAUACCCGCUGAACUUAAGCAUAUCAAUAAGCGGAGGAAAAGAACCAACAGGGAUUGCCCCAGUAACGGCGAGUGAAGCGGCAACAGCUCAAAUUUGAAAUCUGGCCCCCAGGGCCCGAGUUGUAAUUUGCAGAGGAUGCUUUGGGCGCGGUGCCUUCCGAGUUCCCUGGAACGGGACGCCAUAGAGGGUGAGAGCCCCGUACGGUUGGACACCAAGCCUGUGUAAAGCUCCUUCGA